AUUGAACGCUGGCGGCAGGCCUAACACAUGCAAGUCGAGCGGAGCGGCGGACGGGUGAGUAAUGCCUAGGAAUAUGCCUGGUAGUGGGGGAUAACGUCAGGAAACGGGCGCUAAUACCGCAUACUAUCAGCAGAGCCUAGGUCGGAUUAGCUAGUGGUGGGGGUAAAGGCCUACCAAGGCGACGAUCCUUAACUGGUCUGAGAGGAUGAUCAGCCACACUGGAACUGAGACACGGUCCAGACUCCUACGGGAGGCAGCAGUGGGGAAUAUUGGACAAUGGGCGAAAGCCUGAUCCAGCCAUGCCGCGUGUGUGAAGAAGGUCUUCGGAUUGUAAAGCACUUUAAGUUGGGAGGCGUUACCAGCAGAAUAAGCACCGGCUAACUUCGUGCCAGCAGCCGCGGUAAUAC
rnacentral:rRNA from 1 species